CUCGCCGCUUCUCUCUUCCAACACUUAGACAAAUUUCAUUCUCAGUCUUUCCUUCCUAUGGUGAACACCGAAAAACUCUGGACCUCAAACACCUUCUGCUUCCGCAAAAUGCUUCUCUAAAGCACCAUUGACGAGUGCCAAUCUUCAGGUCAAGCUCGCCGAAGAAGCGAAGUCAGAACACUUCCAAGCUCCCUCCUCGUUCCGCGACUUCAGUUUAGACUUUUCUCCGACCCCCUCUUCAGCUAAUUGUGCGUGCCUCAUGCUGGGUUUGGCUUAGGUUUUGAAAGGUUAGUGCAAUUUGCAACUGGUAUUGAUAAUAUAAGAGAUGCAAUACCUUUCCCACGAACGCCUGGAUCUGCUGAAUUUUAGUGUCGCCGACUUCAGAGAUGCAGUAAUUUUGAUUCAGCCUUGGUAGUCGGUACCCAUCAAGGCUUAUCCUCCUGAGUUUGGCAUUGUAUUUUGAUUAGAAGAUUCAAGUUCAGAUUCGAACGGUAAAAAAUUUUGUUUCGAGUAGUUAGCAAUUUGUUACACAAGGUUCAUAACAUAGUAUAUGCGAUACCUGUCAUUCAUAAUUAGCUUUUUCCAUUUGGAGGGGAGAGAUAUUGAUAGAUCAAUCAUUUGUUUAAAUUUGAUCAUCACCUGUGUCUUUUAUUACAUGGAUAAGUCAGAUGCUGUAGUUGAAUUUAUUCCAGUGCCUUAUCUUGGUGUUUCUUUGUUA